GACAUGGCUCAGGAUAAACGCUGGCGGCGCACAUAAGACAUGCAAGUCGAACGAACUUAACCAUUAGUUUACUAUUGGAGCGGUUAGUGGCGGACUGGUGAGUAACACGUAAGCAACCUGCCUAUCAGAGGGGAACAACAGUUAGAAAUGACUGCUAAUACCGCAUAUGCCUUAGAAUCACAUGGUUCAAAAGGGAAAGGAGCAAUCCGCUGAUAGAUGGGCUUGCGUCUGAUUAG
rnacentral:rRNA from 1 species